GACGAACGCUGGCGGCGUGCUUAACACAUGCAAGUCGAGCGGAAAGGCCCUUCGGGGUACUCGAGCGGCGAACGGGUGAGUAACACGUGAGUAAUCUGCCCAUGACUUCGGGAUAGCCAGCCGAAAGGCUGAUUAAUACCGGAUAUGACGCCCUCUGGCAUCGGGGGGUGUGGAAAGUUUUUUCGGUCAUGGAUGUGCUCGCGGCCUAUCAGCUUGUUGGUGGGGUAAUGGCCUACCAAGGCUUCGACGGGUAGCCGGCCUGAGAGGGUGACCGGCCACACUGGGACUGAGACACGGCCCAGACUCCUACGGGAGGCAGCAGUGGGGAAUAUUGGACAAUGGGCGGAAGCCUGAUCCAGCAACGCCGCGUGAGGGAUGACGGCCUUCGGGUUGUAAACCUCUUUCAGCACAGACGAAGCGCAAGUGACGGUAUGUGCAGAAGAAGGACCGGCCAACUACGUGCCAGCCGCCGCAGUAAGAC
rnacentral:rRNA from 1 species